rnacentral:lncRNA from 1 species
GUGGUAGUUGAGUGAACGGGCUAUCAAAAAAGGUCUCGUUUUAUCCUCUAUCGAGGCAGGAUAGUAUUAUUAUACCUAAAAGAAGGGUUCUAAAACAGUUUAGAGAACUAAUCUGGGUCUAUUAGCCACUGGUAUCUAAGUGGUACUCCCAUGCCAGCGAUAAUAAUAUCAUCAUAUACCUCGCCAGGAGGUACUUAAAGGUACGAUCUAGGUGAAAGAAAACUAAAAAUCAUGAAGUUCCCCGGUGAAUCUUUCUCUCGGCAAAGCAGAACAAGAAGCAGCAGAAAGCAAAACAGUAUAAGGGUCGUUCGGAGUUCCAGGCACAAAACAAUUCUAUAGAACUGGGUAUACCAAACAGUUGAUCAACAAGGAAAAUGUCCACUAAACCAGCUAAACGGCUCACGAAUUGUUUGGAAUGCAACGGCAAAUGUGAUCUCCCAGCAAUAUCUCGAGUCCAAAACCUCACCCAUCUACAUAUAUCAUCAUCUGCGGCAAGAACAUAGCAACACCAAAAUCCUACCAGCAACUGCUGCAAUGCACCCUCCUCACGACAGCCAACCAUCGACGGUGUCAGACUAUGAUUCAGUUGUUGUACUACUCCUCUUUGUUCUGUUUCAUGUUUUUGGCGGUUUCGUUCUUGUGUCUUAGUCCGAAGAAGACAGUGGAUGUUGAUCCAGUAGCAAAAUUGUGCUUCCUGUUGCAGGAUUUAUGUAUCGUGCCGUGCGUAGAUACGGACGACAUGGAAAAAAUCCAGGUUUAUGUACGACAUGCUCUUUCCUUCCUUCAUUCGGUGACGCACAGAGGUGGCAGAGUCUUAUUCCUGGAGUCGCUCACAACUUUUGGGAGCACCGAGAUCCUGAAUAAGAUGCUGCACGAAUUGGCUGAGGUGUUGGGAGCCCCCAAUAGAGAAGGACGAUGCGGAAAGGUAUGGUGGGAAUACAAACAGGCCUGGACAGAAGAAGUAGACGAAAGACCUCCAGGCUGUGUCGUCAUUCUCAAUCCUGAAAAGAGAGCGCACAUCCUGAGGAAGGCGCGUCAUGCAAAGGUUCCCAUUUUUUUUCCUUAGUUGACCCCGUGUUUCUAUCGGAUCCUAAGCUUCAUCGGGACAAGCGCAUAAACCAUCCCAUCCCGGUAGAGGGGACAGAGCAGCUCAGCGGGCUAAUCAGUGACCUCAUCUACCCAAAGACUUUAUUUCUGCUGUACUUUCUUAAGCAAUAGGAAUUAGAAUUUCGUAGGUAGAGGGGGCCAAGGUGCCAGAAACAUGGAUUUCAUGGAAACAAGGUAAUCCGUAGUUGGUAGCAGAUGUUCCGCGGGAUCAGAUAUCCUCCGUCUUGUCUCUGCAUUCGAGGAAUGCUUGUAGCUGUGCUAGGCGUGAGAAGAACUCUACAAUAUGAUUUCUACGAUUGGUACCAGAUUGGAAUUCAUUCUCGGAACUCUCCUCUAGAGAAUGGCCUGGCUAAAGAGAGUGAUAGAUCCAUCGUGUCGUGUGGAAAAUAAAGCUAGGCGCCACUAUUCGUCCUCAGCCGUAUUCUCAUUCUGGGAAAAGAUAUGGCUCGUUCUGGGAAACGAUCAGUAGUAGUGGUGGAUGGCAGGUAUGGAAGGAUCCCGGCAAGUUCCUAUCUGAGAUUACCACCGGCCCUGCCCUGAGCUGACUUCUUUGCUAGUAGUGAAGUGCGUUUUCACUUAGUUGGAAAAGUCCAUAAUCCGAUUUGACCUCGGGAGCCUGUCCACGGAUCUGAUCAAAGUAUGAUUCCCUAGUGCCAAAAGUCCUAAAGCCUAUGGCGCCAAGCAUGGGGAGUCCGCGGAGAAGAAAAACUCUAUUUCGCUAUGGGCCAAAACUAGUGUUUUUUCGGAUUUCUAGUCUAGUUUAAGUGCAGGGCAAGAGAGUUCUCUUCCAGUAUUCUUAGCUGACUGUCCGCUUGCUUGACUCGAACAAAUAGCUUUUGUUUCCACAAGGCAGAUCCCAUUCCUCGAAUGAAAAGGACAAGAAAGACGAAUUCUGGCUGGAAGGAAGGGUUCUCGUAUUGGUUCUUCUGGUGCGCUACUUCCUUGUGCUGUGCCAGAUUGGAAUUGGUAUCGGAAUCCUGGUUGGUAGAAGGAAGCUCGGGUAUUGCUUAUUGUUGAAAGCACUCGUUUGUUCCGGCUCGUGAGUUGAAAGCACUCGUUUGUUCCGGCUCGUGAUGUGUCUGACGCAUGCAUAGAAUCAAGAUCUAUUGAGACCGGGAUGUUUGUUUCUUCCUCGAAACAAGAGAUACGCUCUGGCUUAUUUGCAUUCGACCGGAGAACCUCACUUAUCAACUGCCCUGAAUUGGAUCUACUUACGAUUUGAGAAACUGGCUCCAGAACCCCUGUUUUUGAUGCAGAAUCGGUGGUUCCUUCUCUUUUUCGUGAUUUCAUCCAUAAAUCAAUGGAAAGAGCACUUUAUUCAGUGAAUUGACACGUUCCUGAUGCUUUUACAGUAGCAGCAGUCUCGGUAGCAGAAGUAGAUCCGAGUGUAGAUACCGGGAUCAUAUCACCACUAUUGACUAUUUCAAUUCAUUCACAUCUGCUUGUAUCAAUCAAAGCUUCCUAUCAAGCAAUCCCAGCAGCAAUCAAGUUGGCACCCACUAUAUAAGAUGCACUAUUUCCUGAUCUUGUCCCAAACCCAACUCGGCACUUUUAGACCUGGCCUGGAUCCCUCCCUUCUCCGACAAUAUAUGCAACCUUAAAGAAAAGAGACCACUCUCAGAACGACCCUUCGGAAAGCCCCACAACAAGCUAUCCCAGAAGAAAUUGUAUAACUUGGCCAAAGUAUUCACUUCCAGUUCCCUUUGCAAUAAGAUCACAGUAGAUACUGUUUAGAAGGCUCACUCUCUCGUCUACAAAAAAUAGAUGUGUGCUUACUUCUUGGAGAUUGACUCCUGCCGGUAAGUGCACACCCUCAGUAGUAUCUCUAUAGACUUUAUAGAGUAUUUCCAAUUGAUAAAUGAUUUGUUCUUUAAGAACAUCUUUGGAUAUAUCAGUUACUUGUGUUUCAACAUUAAUAGCAUUUAUGUGAUGGAUCAUCCGGCCAGCCCUAACGGCGACAAGAAUAGCUAUCGACAAUGACAAACCCAAUGAUACAAUAUACUCAAAUAUAAUCGUUUCCAUAAAAAUCUGCCAUCAUUUUUUGAGUCAUACUUGUCCCUUAGCAGACUCACUCUUGUCUUGCUUCAUCUAAGGAGUGAUAAGUGCCAGGAGUCUGCCUCUAGCAUCAAUACAUGUCCUAGUUACGAACAAAGAAGCGGUGUUGUCUCCUUAGCGUUAGCGGCCUUAUGCCUAUUUCAGUAUACGCCCGUGUCAAUAUGUCUAGACUUACCUAUACCCAUGCUUCCUUCUUCUUUGACUAGCUUGCUUCCCCUAUCAAAUAGAACGGGAAUGACUGCGUGCUGGGCCAUCGUUAGUAAGCCCGCGUAGGGUAGGACCAUCAUCGAGCAAAUGUUCCUUCAAAGGCGCGGAGCGUGCUAUGGCAGAUUUUCAUCCCGCAAGAGGAUGCGCCUAACUAAAACGCCGAAAGGCAGUGCAACCCAAUCCGUUGCUUUGCUUGUUGGGUCCACUUUUUGAAAGUUUCUUUGUUCGUAACAUUAGUAGUUACUCACUGCAUUAGUAGUUACUCAUUGGGUGGGUGCACCAACGGCUUUCUAGGAAUUUGAGUUGCUCCAUACGGACGGAAAGAUUCUUUCGUGAAAUAAAAGAACGGCAGCGGCAGGUUGAUGAGGGAAAGGAAACCAGAUCUUUUUUCUAUGGUAUGGCCUGGGUGGCCUAAGCGAAAUCCCGAGAUAUGAAGGAGCCGAUCAAUCUACCCGCCUGAGGUAAGCUUGCUCCUCACUUGAGUUGAAGCUGCCUCCGCUCCCUGCCGUCAUACGGAUUGAUUUACUUUAUCUUGACAUACGCUACGCAUAUAUUUGCUAGAGAUAUCAAUCGAAAUAGGAGCUUUUUGAAAAUACAAAUCGAUAUAUCCAUGGUAUUGAAUGGACAAGAAUUGAAUGGGAUUGUGGCACCCAGUGAUACACUACGCCAUGUUACGAACAAAGAAAUGAUCAAGAAUUUCAUUAUGGCAUGGCGCUAUAGGCCAUCGAUUCGGUUUAUUAAUUCAUGUGUGUACUCCUGUUCGAUCCUUUUCUGAUGAAAUGAAUGAAUUACCACGCUUUCCGCCGGCUGAUAAAGAACUUUUUGAUGAUCGAUUGCUUCACCCAUGAUCUGAUGAUCUUGCUAUAACAUAACAUACUGCAUUUCCCCUCUUCCUUGUCUCUACUUACUUGUUCAUUGCUCGACUCGAGGGAGGGGCUCUAUAUAGCUGUUUUGCCUUCUUUCUUGGACUCUCAGGUGAGCGCUUAGGCCAAGCCACAAUUACCAAGGCAUGAUUGAAUCCGCCAAAGAGAAGGGAAUAGAUGAUCUCACUGGAAAAAGUUGCGUAACCCCCCCGUUUUUUUGGCAUGAUUUCAAGAUUUUGACCUGAUUUAUGAGAAAAGAACUUAGUUUUGCAUUAACCCAAAAGAAUCUCCUUAUAAUUGAGUGUGCAGUAAAGGGGGUUGUUACACCAAAUCCCUCUGGUGAAGCUCUAUCUAACUGCUUGUUAAUAGCGGAUUGGGUAUUGGUCGAUCGAAAGCUGUGAUACGCAAAAUCCUCAGCAAAAUGAAAUGCGGACUACAAUUAAGUUAGUUGAAAAAGAGAGUAAGGAAUGGGACCGUCAACAGGAACUCUUGAAUUGAGGGUUUUUCACACUACCUAUAGAGAGAUUGAACCAACACGGUGCCCACGGUAACUCCUCCACCCGUACUGUUUGCUUUCGUGGGGCUUUGCUGCGCUUUGGAUCUUAUCAGGUGGCAACCACCUUCGGUUCUAGACUCUGGCACUUCCCCUGGCUGUGGCACUUUCACUGUCGCCUACUCCUACUAUUGGGUCGAUUGUGGUUGGUGUUUUGAUUCAAAAGUGGAGAAUAGAUUGUUCAUUGCGAAGGACAUCAGAAAUCUACAUACAAGGGUCAAGAUGUAAGCUCAAGUUAAGUGGACGGGUCCAAAGAUCAGGGAAAAGGGUAGAUCGGGACAUGGUUGCAAGGGCUAUAUAUCUAUAUAGUUACAAAUGAAUGAAAACGCCAUGCUUAAAGCCAAAAGAAUAAGCUCUUGAUACGGAUCUCUUUCAUCUUGUAAAUAAAGUAGGGGCGUCCCUAACUACAGCUUCCUACCAUAAGUCAGACAUUCAGCUAAUACUGAAGAAAUCUUCUUCUGGGGACACCUCUCUAAAAUAAGAAUGAUGGCGUUUUUGAUCUUAUUCAUUUUCUGAUCGAUAAAUGCGAGAAUGUAGUUAUUUUUAUGAAACCGGAUAUUCAACAUGCUUUCCUCGACCAGAUCUAUUUACGGGAGUCGUAUUUCGAACUGACCCCAGGUCUGAUCUGGAAAUGGUAAAUCCUAUUUGAUCUUCAAGGUUAAGUACUUCUGCGAGACUAUCAGCAUCUUAUCUGGUUGAUAGCACUCAACCCACUGAAUAUACGUUUUAUAUGGGAGCCCUAACUCCACCAUGCAAUUCAACAAGCUGAGGACGGAGAAGUCAACCGGUCUCACGUUUUCUUCUUUUCUUUUUAAAGAACCUGCCCCGAAGGAAAGCAUAUUAUAGGGGAAGAGCUAGCUUCAUUCGAGCUGGAUGGGCUAAAAGCUUUCGUUGAGACAAAGCAGGCAAAAAAAAAGUUCGAGAACAGGAUAACUAACGUUUGGAACCAAGAGAUCUCAUAGUUCUUCAAGUGAGAAGCUGAGAAGGGAUGACACCCAUUUGACCUAGAAGACCGAUGAUCAAGUGUCAAAUUCUAAGCCAAGAGAUGGCAAUGGGACUAUAGGAGCACGGUACUAAACCAUCAUACCAUACCAGUGACUUCACCAACCGAAACCAACUCAAAUAAGUUCAGGGAGGAAAAGAAUACAGUCAUGAUAGAUUGGUGAAUGAGGAAGGAAAAGAAAGCCUAAACUAUCCAAGUAAGAUAGCGAAAGAGAAAGCUGUCUUUAAAGCCUGUUUUGACCAAGCAAGCAAGCUGGAGCACCUUUCACGCUAGCUUCCCAUCGCUCGAAGUACACUUCCGGUGCACUUCUCACUGCUCAACCACUUUAUCUUUAACCUAACCGCCUUCUAAAACUUCCACGGGAAAGCCAGUAGAGUAUGCCUUGGUUUAAGAGAGGAGCUCAGGUCCAUCUUGUGCUCACAAUACAUCUUAUUUAGCAGGACCUCUGGGCUCUUUAGAGAAAGGCGAAGUCUCUACUUGUUAACCAUGGAUGCCUAUUAUAUUUACUUAUAGAGUGAAGAACAAGCCCACUUUCCAUAUCCCUUUCGUCCGGAUGAUCGAUUGCCUCAUUCUUCUUCGAAAAUAAGUGCAUUUGGCCAUUGUGUUUUUCCAACUUUUGUAAUAGAUAUGGGCAUGCAUGGUUUUCAAUAGAUAACCCUAGGCCUUCUUCGUUUCCCCACGGGCAUUCACUUCUCUUCAAGCUCGGGAUUAGCGAAACAUGGAUCCGACGCCCAUCUCUUUUUCCACUUUGCAAGGCUGAGAGACUUUACCAAUUGAUAAAAAAAAGCAUGAGCAGGAUCAGCAGAGGCAAAAUCGAAUAAAAUGGCUUAUUUGCACCUUUCUUUGGUAGGCAACGAAUCUCACGGAAUGUGGGAAUCUUUUAUAGAUGUGAAUUCUCGCUUUAACGCUUCGAUAACAUACUUAUCAUCAGGUAUCUUCGGGAGCGGGGCUCGCCCUCAACAGAUAUUGUCUUUGCUUCCGCUGAUGUCGCGUCAAUUGCCCGAGGGAGCAUAACACUGCAGGUCGCAAUGAACAUGCCCGCCGCAUCUCGGAUAAUUGCUCCAGUUGCGCCAAUUCCAGUAUCCGAGACAGAAAGCAGCAUCCACGUGAACUUUGACUGUUCA